AGUUUUAUAGUCUAAUAAGGACUUUAAAUUGCAAAUUUAAUGGUAUAUGUGAAUAAUCAUUUGUUAAAGCUU
rnacentral:tRNA from 1 species